rnacentral:rRNA from 1 species
GACGAACGCUGGCGGCGUGCUUAACACAUGCCAGUCGAACGGAAAGGCCUGCUUUCCCUUGUGGAUUGCGGGUACUCGAGUGGCGAACGGGUGAGUAACACGUGAGUGAUCUGCCCCCAACUUGGGUAUAAGCCUGGGAAACUGGGUCUAAUUCCCGAUAGGACUGCAGGGUGGUGCCUGUGGUGGAAAACGAUUUUCUAGUGGUUGGGGAUGAGCUCGCGGCCUAUCAGCUUGUUGGUGGGGUAAUGGCCUACCAAGGCGGCGACGGGUAGCCGGCCUGAGAGGGUGGACGGCCACAUUGGGACUGAGAUACGGCCCAGACUCCUACGGGAGGCAGCAGUGGGGAAUAUGGCACAAUGGGCGGAAGCCUGAUGCAGCGACGCCGCGUGGGGGAUGACGGCCUUCGGGUUGUAAACUCCUUUCGACCGCGAGGAAGCCACCUGGUUGGAAGGGUGGUGACGGUAGUGGUAGAAGAAGCACCGGCUAACUACGUG